rnacentral:rRNA from 1 species
CCUACGGGCGGCAGCAGUGGGGAAUAUUGGGCAAUGGGCGCAAGCCUGACCCCGCAACGCCGCGUGAAGGAAGAAGGCUUUCGGGUUGUAAACUUCUUUUGUCAGGGACGAAGCAAGUGAAGGUACCUGACGAAUAAGCCACGGCUAACUACGUACCAGCAGCCGCGGUAAUACGUAGGUGGCAAGCGGUAUCCGGAUUUACGGGGUGUAAAGGGCGUGUAGGCGGGACUGCAAGUCAGAUGUGAAAACCACGGGCUCAACCUGUGGCCUGCAUUUGAAACUGUAGUUCUUGAGUACUGGAGAGGCAGACGGAAUGCCUAGUGUAGCGGUGAAAUGCGUAGAUAUUAGGAGGAACACCAGUGGCGAAGGCGGUCUGCUGGACAGCAACUGACGCGGAGGCGCGAAAGCGUGGGGAGCAAACAGGAUUAGAUACCCCGGUAGUC